GAGCAUCGCAGGCCAGAGGAC
rnacentral:misc_RNA from 1 species